GUAAAAUUAGGAAACUUAAAAAUUAAAAAUUUAGACGUGAUCGCUUCCUGACAAUUUAACAUUCUCAAACAAUAGUUCAAACAACAUUCUCAAACAUUCGCACUAACAUGAUCGAUUUCAAACAACAUUCUCAAACAACAGUUCAAACAAUAUUCUCAAACAUUCCCGAGUUCUAAGUCAGUUCAAACAACAUUCUAAAAAAACAGUUCAAACAACAGUUCAAACAACAUUCUCUACCUACACCGUGACUCCUAUCUAAACAAUGAGUUCCCCUAUCUAAACUGUGAUCCUAGCAAUGCUUACUACUUAUGCGUAAGAAGCACUAACCCGAGGUCCUUUGGCUGUUAUAUCGAGACAUCACUCCAUAUGCCAAGUAUGCGUCCACAAUAUCUUCAAAUGUACCCGCUU
rnacentral:lncRNA from 1 species